UGCGGUAAAUCAGCCCCUUCUAAGAAGGAGAUAGCUGCUGUGUUAUCACGGCUAGAAAAGGAGGGCUGCCUGGCAACCCCGGAGGCAGUGCUCGAUAAUGGGUUGUGGGAUUCUUUUACUAUGAAACUCGCCCAACGGGUUAUGUCCUCGCCCAAGAAAGAUAAGAAUCUGCUAAAAAACUGGGGACUCAUCCUGGGGGCGUUGAAGGCAGCCAAGGAGGAUAAGGAAACACAGUAUACGGCACAAAAAUGGGUGGGGCUUGCGGGUCGUGCGGGACAGGGUGGCAGUUUGGAAAUGGAAAGGGGGGAGGUGCGGGUGGUUUGCGCUUCCCCCACAGAUGGCCGAGGAUGUUCUCCUGCCACCGAGGCGCCGCCAGAGCUCAGGAACGAUCAACGGACAAUGCCCCCGUCGUUGAAUAAUCCUUAUCUGACUGCCUCAGCUGCCCUGAAGGAAUCCCCACCUCCCUACCCCCGCUGGAAUUUGUAUCCUGCCCUGCCGGACGAGGGUGGGGGAGGGGGUGGCUCUUGUAACAGUUCUCGUGACCACCCGAAUUUGUAUCCUGCCCUGCCAGAUGAGGGUUGGGGAGGGGGCGGCACAACGCUGCCAUAUAAGAGAACUAACAGAGUGGCCAGGGAGGAGGGGAAAGCUAACGCUGCGGCGCGGACAGCAUCCCUCCCCCCGGAACAAUACCAAGGCGGCGGAUCGGCGCUGGCCAACCCCCCGAUGUCAGUCACUGCUGAGGAAUGCGAAGGGGGCGGGACCGAUGAGCGUACUCUGAACGCGGAUUGGUCAGAGAUAGUGCAGGGCUGGACUGCACCACCCACGUCUCCGCCCAUGGAGAUGCCGAGGGUCAGCACUCUGUGGGAUGUACAGAAGUUAGUAGGUGCUGGGAUAGCUCAGUCGGUAGAGCAUGGGACCCUUAAUCCCAGGGUCGUGGGUUUGAGUCCCAUGCUGGGCAUCCCUUCACAAAUAAUGGAAUCCUUUUGUGAUCAGUUAAAGGGAUCGGACCUCAGUUACUCGGACGUGCCAAGCCUUUUUACCAUCAGGAAUGCCAUGGCUGACAGAGCAGCCAGCACACUUGUCUUUACAGUCACAAUAGAUACUUCCUCCUCUGUUAUAGUGGCCAUACAGCAUGCGAAGUCCAACACUACUGUCAUGAGCCUGUCUAGCUAAAUUAAGACUGGCAAUGGCCCUUGCUUUACUUUUCGCUCUACACAGGAGAAGUUAGCCUUGUGGGGAAUUUCUCAUACCACAGGUAUCCCCAGUAACUCUCAAGGGCAAGCCAUUGUGGAAUGUGCUAAUCGUCUCCUUAAGGACAAGUUAUGCGUCCUUGGGGAGGGGGAAGGAUACAGGGGGAAGACACCUGUCAGCAGGCAAGCUGAGAUACUAGCAAAGGCUCUUUAUGCAUUGAAUUACUUCAAACACGGUAACAACGGAUGAACCCCGACGCAGAAGCAUUGGCAGCCUGAGAUCAUAAGUGAGAGACUGGCCCUAUGUGGGUUCCAGCACGAUACAUUCGGCCUCAUCUCAAGGCAGAAAAUAAGUGGGAUUGUAUGUUUCUUGCUUAUUGGCAUUGUUUCAUGAUUUGUUGGAUUAUGGAUACUAUAGUGUGUGAUGAAAAAGGCUGCACUACUCACUGGAUGGUAUUAUAAUAACAACCCUAGUAAUGUAUGGUGAAGCAGGUGUUUUUCCUGUGUUAGCCAUGCAGCCUCAAGAAUUAGGAUUAUUAGGCAUAAUUUAG
rnacentral:tRNA from 1 species